AUGCAGCUGACGAGUCCAAAAUAGGACGAGACGCGCCUCCUGGAU
rnacentral:hammerhead_ribozyme from 1 species